AAAGGGAGACCUAAUUCAGGUAGGAGACGAAAAAAAGUAGUCCCUACCAAGAAUCAAUCCCAAAAGGUCGGAGCGAGGCAAAAUUGGCUUUCAAACUAGGUUCUGGGUUCACACAAGACCUGAAUCAGGAACAAGGGCUAUUAGCUCAGGUGGUUAGAGCGCACCCCUGAUAAGGGUGAGGUCCCUGGUUCGAGUCCAGGAUGGCCCACCUGUACAGGUGGCAAAAAGAAAGAAAAGAAGCGAGGAAUCAGCACCUUAUCUUACUUAUAUAGUAAGAGAGAAUGCUGGCUCUGAGUUCAGAGUCCAGAGGAACCUUGAAAACUGCAUAGAGCUAGGUGAAAAAGCCAAAAAAGAAGAUCGCAAG
rnacentral:tRNA from 1 species